rnacentral:tRNA from 1 species
UCGGCCGUAGUGUAAUUGGCAGCACCUCACACUUUGGAUGUGAUUGUCCAGGUUCGAACCCUGGCGGCCGAG